GUAGGUGGCAAGCGUUGUCCGGGAAUUAUUGGGGCGUGAAGCGCGCGCAGGCGGUUCUUUAAGUCUGAUGUGAAAGCCCACGGGCUCAACCGUGGAGGGUCAUUGGAAACUGGAGAACUUGAGUACAGAAGAGGAAAGCGGAAUUCCACGUGUAGCGGUGAAAUGCGUAGAGAUGUGGAGGAACACCAGUGGCGAAGGCGGCUUUCUGGUCUGUAACUGACGCUGAGGCGCGAAAGCGUGGGGAGCAAACAGGAUUAGAUACCCUGGUAGUCCACACCGUAAACGAUGAGUGCUAAGUGUUAGGGGGUUUCCGCCCCUUAGUGCUGCAGCUAACGCAUUAAGCACUCCGCCUGGGGAGUACGGCCGCAAAGGCUG
rnacentral:rRNA from 1 species